AUUGAACGCUGGCGGCAGGCCUAACACAUGCAAGUCGAACGAGUGGCGGACGGGUGAGUAACGUCUGGGAAACCGCCCGAUGGAGGGGGUUACUUACUGGAAACGGUACCUAAUACCGCAUACCAUCGGAUGUGCCCAGAUGGGAUGAGCCAGUGGGUGGGGUAACGGCUCACCUAGGCGACGAUCCCUAGCUGGUCUGAGAGGAUGACCGGCCACACUGGAACUGAGACACGGUCCAGACUCCUACGGGAGGCAGCAGUAGGGAAUAUUGCGCAAUGGGCGAAAGCCUGAUGCAGCCAUGCCGCGUGUAUGAAGAAGGCCUUCGGGUUGUAAAAUCCUUUCAGCGGGGAGGCGUUACUCGCAGAAGAAGCACCGGCUAACUCCGUGCCAGCAGCCGCGGUAAUAC
rnacentral:rRNA from 1 species